AUGUUGGAGCUCCCCUGCUUCGCCUUGGACACCGCCGGCAAGCCCUGCCUCCGCCGCCUCGCCAAGCCCCGCACCGCCAUGCCCGACCUCGCCUCUGCUUCCUCUACUACGAACAGCAGCAACUCGAGGGAACUGACGGCGCCCCCGAGCUCCAUCCGCGCCGAUCCCCAUCUUCCUCCUUGUCGCGCCGUUCAUCAGUCCCGCCGCCGCCCUGCCAAGUCUGUCCCGCCGAAGUUCCUCGUCGCCGGAGACUGCUGCAGCUCCGUCCCCGCCGCCGUUUGCCUCGCCGCCGGCCUGCUACCUUGCUGCCCGGAUCCGCUUCCUCCGGCCGCCUCCACCGCCAAGGUCCCCGGCGACCUCACCGUCCGGGCCUCCUCCGCCGCGCCUGCCGCUGCAAGUCCCUCGCUGCUGCAUCCUCUGUUUCCCUGCAUCGAACACCAGCAGCGAGCGCCUGGCUCGACCGGGUCCUGCGUUGACCCGCUCCAGCGCCAGCGUGGACCAGCUCCAGUCGGCCCGACUCCCUCCACAGACCCAGCCGGGCCAGCUUGCUCUGCUCCAUCCCAGCGCCGAAUCGGCCCAAGUGCCGUGCUUCGGUUUCGUUCCGGAGUUGUGAGGAUUCGUUCGACUACGACCGUUUGUCUUCUUCAUGGACUCGUACUUCUUCCUUGCGGGAUAUCAGUUUGCAGGUGCCUAUGUUACCGAGCAGGUGACGCAACCAAGCUCAAGGAGGAGCUCGAUGAAGAUCUUGCCCUUUGUGUUGUUUCGUUCUAG
rnacentral:rRNA from 1 species